ACCAUAGUAUAUUACCGAACCAAUGUCAAUUAAUCUAUUUUCCUGCUAAUUAUUGUAAUUUUUUUUCUAUAACUAGAAAGUUUUUGUCACUAGCUAGUAGCUACUAUUAUUUCUCUUUUGGAAAUUUCCCUUUACUAUCAUGAAAGGCUAAACGAGAAAUAACAAAAAUAUAAUGAAAGUUUAAUAAAUAAAUAAGAAUGAACUUUGAUGAGAUUAUUAAGUGAUCAAUUGGAUGAGCUAAAGAGGUAAACAAGACACAUUGGUGUAGCUUAUAAACAUUUAACAAUAAUUCAAAUUUUAUCAAUGGUUUAUUUCAACUCUCAAAAAUUAUUUGAUUGAAGUAAAUAAAUCAUGGAAUUUUUACUAUAAAUUGAUGACACAAUUUUCUAUUUAUUACAUGCAAAGAAGAAAAAAAAAUAUGGAUUUGAUUACCAAGUUCAUUUAUGCUUUGAUUAUUUUUAUUUCUCUAUUUCUUGUCGUAACCAACAGCGCUGAAUUUCCUUUGAUUGAUUCCCCAUCAAAAUUUCUCUGCAUUCAUGGAACUGAUUGUCCAUGGGAUUUGUGUAUCCAUCUUGCUCGAACUCCAAGUUGCAUCGAUUUUAUUUGUGAGUGCUAAUAUGGAUUUGGGCUUAACAAUUGUAAAAUAAAGCGUAUAGUUUUAUUUGUAUGUUAAGUUAAAAAAAUAUAUAUUUGCUUUUAAACAUAUAAAUUUAUUUGUACGUUAAGUAAAAUAAUAAAUAUAUUUGCUUUUAAGCAUAUGAUUUUAUUUGUACAUCAUAAUAUUACUAUUUUAUUUAAUUUUUCUUUGAUGACAAUUUGUGCCAAGUUGUACCUAGUAAUAAGUGAUAAAUAAGAUCCUCAUGAGCUUAGUCGGUUUGUAAGAAUAUCGCA